CCUGACAAUGCCACAGAGCAGAAUAUUCACUUAUUUGCUUUGUUUCAUUUUGGUUCCGGUACCAAUACCAACAUGUAUUCCGAUACUUUUACAGAUAAAAAAGAGAACUUAGAAAAAGGUCAUUACUGACUUAAUUUAAAAUCUUGGAACAACCACAUUAAAACACAAUUCUAAAAUUGUUGUGCAAAAAUAAAAGCCUAGUAUUUUGAACAGUCAGUGUGAAUAAAUGAAUGUUGUAUAUAUCCAGAUGUGUGUGCCAGAAACAUAGGGGAGUCAAGUAUCCAGUUCAAUUUCUCUGAGAACCUCCCCGUGUGCUUGUUGUUUUCUCGCGAAUUGACACUACCGUUGUCGUUUUGUGCUGAAUAAAUUCCAUGGAUUAUGUGCAAAAGAUCAACAAACUCACAUGGAUAACGCUGCUGUCUGAUUGUUGAAAAGGUUACGCUGGAGGUUUGCGAAAUCUGGACUGGUUUACACUGGUAGGCUCCCUGACUGACGCAGACUGAUACUGAAUAGUUUUAUGCUCAUUUGUCUUUAAGAUGAAGUAUUGCAAUUAAAUAUUUCACUCCCCUGGUUUGUCCACAAGUUGCAAGGUGGUAACUGUUAUAGCAGCCAUUCUCCUCUCCAUGCUCCACCCACACCCAACGUCUCUGCUCUCUGUUUUCCACCUGUUCCAUCCACGCUGUUCACUCACUUAAUAGCGGUUUCUUUUACUUGCUCCUCGUCCUCUCUGACGUCACACGGUAAAGUUGCCGCGCUAUUGUGGGCGCUGACGGUGGCAAGUACCGGUCCCAUCCAAAUGCAGUACAGUAUUGUUUUAAAUGCCUCAGUACUGUGUAACCAAAUUUCCACAGGUAUACCGUGCAACCAUAGUUUCAUUUAGUAUUUAAGAUUUUGUACUGUGGUGUUUGUAAUGUAAUUUGGUGCAGUUAAAUAACUGCGAAUGGUGAUUCACUCAACCCUAUGGGACCCUCAGAUGCAAUUUAGAUUAAAAUUCUUUUUGGAUAACUUUAGUUGUGUUCAUGCAUAUGACAUAAUAUAAAAGGUAAUGUAAAAUGUACAGCACAAUAUUGUACAGCAUCAACUUUUUAAAAUGUUUCCAAAUUCGGUCUCUCACAGUUGAAGUGUACCUAUGAUGAAAAUUACAGAUCUUUCAUCAUUUUAAGCGAGAGAACUUGCACAAUUUGUGGCUGACUAAAUACUUUUUCCCCCAAUGUGUAACAUGUUGCUCUCUCCAGGUUGGAGGAGAGUUCCUGCCCCAAGUGGAGGAGUUUAAGUAUCUUGGGGUCUUGUGAAGAGGGAGCUAAGCCAAAAGGCAAAGCUCUCAAUUUACCGGUCAAUCUACGUUCCUACCCUCACCUAUGGUCAUGAGCUUUGGGUCAUGACCGAAAGGGCAAGGUCACGCAUACAAGCGGCUGAAAUGAGCUUCCUCCGCAGGGUGGCUGGGCGCUCCCUUAGAGAUAAGGCGAGGAGCUCUGUCACCCGGUAGGAGCUUGAAGUAGAGUUGCUGCUCCUCCACAUCGAGAGGAGCCAGUUAUGGUGGCUCAGGCAUCUGGUCCGAUGCCUCCUGGACGCCUCCCUGGGGAGGUGUUCCGGGCAUGUCCCACCGGUAGGAGGCCCCGAGGAAGACCCAGGACUCGCUGGAGAGACUGCGUCUCUCGGCUGGCCUGGGAACGUCUUGGGGUCCCACCGGAAGAGCUGGAAGUGUCCAGAGAGAGGGAAGUCUGGAACUCUUUGCUAAGACUGCUGCACCCGCGACCCGGCCCCGGAUAAGCGGAUGAAAAUGGAUGGAUGGAUGGUGUAACAUGGUUCAAUAUGACAUGGGUCCAGCAACUCUUCAACUCUUCUGAGAAGGCUGUCCGGAAGGCUGUCAUCCAUGGCUUUAUGGACCUUGCUGUGUGCACCGUUGCAUAGUCAUGUUGGAUAAG